rnacentral:rRNA from 1 species
GGGGAAUAUUGGACAAUGGGCGAAAGCCUGAUCCAGCAAUGCCGCGUGAGUGAUGAAGGCCUUAGGGUUGUAAAGCUCUUUUACCCGGGAUGAUAAUGACUGUACCGGGAGAAUAAGCCCCGGCUAACUCCGUGCCAGCAGCCGCGGUAAUACGGAGGGGGCUAGCGUUGUUCGGAAUUACUGGGCGUAAAGCGCACGUAGGCGGCUUUGUAAGUUAGAGGUGAAAGCCCGGAGCUCAACUCCGGAAUUGCCUUUAAGACUGCAUCGCUUGAAUCAUGGAGAGGUGAGUGGAAUUCCGAGUGUAGAGGUGAGAUUCGUAGAGAUUCGGCGGAACACCAGUGGCGAAGGCGACUCACUGGCCCGAUACUGACGCUGAGGCGCGAAAGCGUGGGGAGCAAA